rnacentral:rRNA from 1 species
AUGGCAAUGAAGGAGAUGGUUUCGAAAGUCAGUCCCUUCGCCGGAACUCAAAGCGUGCUGCUAAUCGCUAGCCAUGUCCAAAACAUAGUGUUGAGCAAGGAGAGGAAGUUAAGGCAGCAGCUGGUGGAGCAGGUGUCUCAUCUUUCGCAGCAGAUGCUGAGGCCAGCGGUGAAGGAGUUGAGGUGGCUGCCCGGGAAGAUGUGGAACGACCAUCACAAGCUGGCAGAUACACUUCCAGGGGAUUUCAGUAAAUUCCUGGUGCAGUCCUACCAGCCAAAGACCUCUGAAAUGGUGUUCCCAGGCAGGGGAAGUAUCUGUGUCGAUACUGACAGUGUUCAAAGGAUCCUGUACCUUGACGUGCUCGUUCAUCACAUCCCAGUAAGCAACUGUGCGAUACAAGUGAAUGCAUGGGACAGUAACCUAAUUGCCAAGGUGAUCAAGAAGGACACAAUCUCUCUUGGUGUGUUCGGCAAAUUACAACUUAAAGAGGAGUACAGGGGCACGGAGCAGACACCACUGUUUGGUGGUCUUUUGCAAGCUCAAGCAUUCGUUGCAUCCAAAUUACCACUAACGUAUAAUCCGCAAAAAAAGGCAAAGAUUACCAAAGUGGUCAAUAACUUGUGCAAGGCAGUAACUGAACAGGUUGGCACCUUCAUUGAAGCAGUUGCCAAGAUCAAUGAUGAGGAACUGGAUGUUGAUCCAUAUGUACAACAGACAUCAACAGGAACCGCUCCAUCAUGUCGUGCUCCAAAAAGGAAGAGACGGGUUUCACCUAUACAAGAAGAAGAAGAGUUUGAUGAGGAGGAGACAGAAGAAGAAGAUGAAAUGGAAGUACCACAAGAUGUUGAAGACGAGGGGAGACAGAUGAGGAUGAAUCAGAGGAGGAUGACAAAGAAGAAGNNNNNNNNNNNNNNNNNNNNNNNNNNNNNNNNNNNNNNNNNNNNNNNNNNNNNNNNNNNNNNNNNNNNNNNNNNNNNNNNNNNNNNGAGGAGGAGGAGGAGGAGGAGGAGGAGGAGGAAGAGGAGGAGGAGGACAAAGGAGAGGAGGAGGGCAAGGAGUAAGAUUGUGAGGCAGAGGAGGAGGAACAAGAAAAUGAGGCCAAAGAAGGAGAUAAAGACAAAGCUGCAGCAAUCGAUGGUAGUGAAGGGGAAGGAGAUGACGAGGAAGAACACGAGGAUGCCGAUCCUGAUGAUCAAGAGGGAUCCAAUGGAGGCAGUGACAGUUCCGACGAUGAUGAUGACAAUGCCCCUGGUUCUGGUGGUACUGGCGGCAACACAACCAGGAGUCUCGGGCAGCAUUGACAUGUUCAAGCUGUGCAACAUGAAGCCAGCUUUGCCAACCACUUUCCAUGUGCCAGAUUUCCAUGAUCGAGAGUUGUGUGACAAGAAUGAUUUUGCUAUUGACCAGAAUUUGCUCUUCUUGAAUGAGACUGAAAAGAAUCCAGUUGACAUGGAGGAAGCAGGGAAGGGUCUUGAUUGGGUUCAUUCAAAGGAAAAAUACAAGGAAUAUUUGAAGCAGCUUCCAGAUAUUAGCUCCAGCAAGAGCAAGGCAGCACUAGUGGCAAACCCUCAUGUGGUCCAGAAGAGCAAAGGAGUUACAAUGAAGAAGAAUCUGAAGUUGCCUCAAACCAAGCAACAGAUGCCGAGGGAAGAUGCAGAAAUAAAUGUGGACAAGGAAGCUGUGGUGCAAACUGUUGUGCCAACUAACAAGGGGAAGAUUCCUCUGUCAACAGUCCCACCUAAACCAGCUAAGCAACAAAAGAUUGUCAAGUUUGCCAAGGGCACAAAGGAGGAACAGGGCAGAAAAGGUGUGGGGUCCAGACACGAGACAGAACAACAUGCCACAGCCAACGAUGCAGGACUGCCAAGUUCUGCUAGUUUGGUACCAACUCAGGCUGCAAAGGUGCCAAUUGCAGAUACCAGUAUACCAACUGAAGUGGUCACAGUCAAAACUAGUAGAGUUGCUCAGGAAGACUCAACUACAAUCGCAAGCCCCAAGGUGACAAUUCAUAGAGAUUCUUCAAUGCCAAACACGGAAGGAGGUUGUCAUUCUGUCAAACUACCGUCUCCAAGAGCUAUCACAAAGCAUCCAAGCAAGUCUGCAUCAUUAAGAGCUGAUUUUCAGAACACAUUAACACAAAGAGGAGGUGUUCAACAUUGUAAGCAGGUGCAAGUCUCCCAGGCCGCCAACCACAACAUUAUUGCGAACCAGGAGUUAGUUGAUUCGAUGAAGCCAAAGCAGUGGCUUUCAAAAAUUGUUAUUGAGACUGGAAUCAUACACAUCAUGGAUAACUUACCAGAAGGGUCAAAGAAAGUUGUCAUGCCAUUGAGUGUGUAUCUAUAUCUGGAUCGUUCACGCGUGCAGGUCAUGCUGCCAGUGCUUGAGUGCGAUAAUGUAAACGACCGCGAAGGAGGCAUGCAUUAUUGGGUCUUCAACAUCAACUUGAGGGACGGACGUUUCGAAGUCCUUGAUUCAAACAGGAAGCUAGAAGACAUUGAGUUGAUGAACACCGCCUCUACAAUUGCGGGGGCAGUACGCUAG